rnacentral:rRNA from 1 species
AACGCUGGCGGCGUGCUUAACACAUGCAAGUCGAACGAUGAACCACUUCGGUGGGGAUUAGUGGCGAACGGGUGAGUAACACGUGGGCAAUCUGCCCUGCACUCUGGGACAAGCCCUGGAAACGGGGUCUAAUACCGGAUACUGAUCUACUUGGGCAUCCAAGUGGUUCGAAAGCUCCGGCGGUGCAGGAUGAGCCCGCGGCCUAUCAGCUUGUUGGUGAGGUAACGGCUCACCAAGGCGACGACGGGUAGCCGGCCUGAGAGGGCGACCGGCCACACUGGGACUGAGACACGGCCCAGACUCCUACGGGAGGCAGCAGUGGGGAAUAUUGCACAAUGGGCGAAAGCCUGAUGCAGCGACGCCGCGUGAGGGAUGACGGCCUUCGGGUUGUAAACCUCUUUCAGCAGGGAAGAAGCGAAAGUGACGGUACCUGCAGAAGAAGCGCCGGCUAACUACGUGCCAGCAGCCGCGGUAAUACGUAGGGCGCAAGCGUUGUCCGGAAUUAUUGGGCGUAAAGAGCUCGUAGGCGGCUUGUCACGUCGGUUGUGAAAGCCCGGGGCUUAACCCCGGGUCUGCAGUCGAUACGGGCAGGCUAGAGUUCGGUAGGGGAGAUCGGAAUUCCUGGUGUAGCGGUGAAAUGCGCAGAUAUCAGGAGGAACACCGGUGGCGAAGGCGGAUCUCUGGGCCGAUACUGACGCUGAGGAGCGAAAGCGUGGGGAGCGAACAGGAUUAGAUACCCUGGUAGUCCACGCCGUAAACGGUGGGCACUAGGUGUGGGCAACAUUCCACGUUGUCCGUGCCGCAGCUAACGCAUUAAGUGCCCCGCCUGGGGAGUACGGCCGCAAGGCUAAAACUCAAAGGAAUUGACGGGGGCCC